rnacentral:rRNA from 1 species
CACGUAGGGCGCGAGCGUUGUCCGGAUUCAUUGGGCGUAAAGCGCGCGUAGGCGGUCGUGCAAGUCGGUCGUGAAAUCCCGGGGCUCAACCCCGUGAACCGCGUCCGAUACUGCGCGACUAGAGGCAGGUAGGGGAGAUCGGAAUUCCUGGUGUAGCGGUGAAAUGCGCAGAUAUCAGGAGGAACACCGGUGGCGAAGGCGGAACUCUGGGCCUGUCCUGACGCUGAGGCGCGAAAGCUAGGGGAGCGAACAGG